GCAGUUGUGGCCGAGUGGUUAAGUCGAUGGUCUAGAAAUCCAUUGGGGUCUCCCCGCACAGGUUCAAAUCCUGUCGACUGCG
rnacentral:tRNA from 1 species